AGAGUUUGAUCCUGGCUCAGGAUGAACGCUAGCGACAGGCUUAACACAUGCAAGUCGAGGGGCAGCAUGAUUUGUAGCAAUACAGAUUGAUGGCGACCGGCGCACGGGUGAGUAACGCGUAUGCAACUUACCUAUCAGAGGGGGAUAGCCCGGCGAAAGUCGGAUUAAUACCCCAUAAAACAGGGGUCCCGCAUGGGAAUAUUUGUUAAAGAUUCAUCGCUGAUAGAUAGGCAUGCGUUCCAUUAGGCAGUUGGCGGGGUAACGGCCCACCAAACCGACGAUGGAUAGGGGUUCUGAGAGGAAGGUCCCCCACAUUGGUACUGAGACACGGACCAAACUCCUACGGGAGGCAGCAGUGAGGAAUAUUGGUCAAUGGCCGAGAGGCUGAACCAGCCAAGUCGCGUGAAGGAAGAAGGAUCUAUGGUUUGUAAACUUCUUUUAUAGGGGAAUAAAGUGGAGGACGUGUCCUUUUUUGUAUGUACCCUAUGAAUAAGCAUCGGCUAACUCCGUGCCAGCAGCCGCGGUAAUACGGAGGAUGCGAGCGUUAUCCGGAUUUAUUGGGUUUAAAGGGUGCGUAGGCGGUUUGAUAAGUUAGAGGUGAAAUUUCGGGGCUCAACCCUGAACGUGCCUCUAAUACUGUUGAGCUAGAGAGUAGUUGCGGUAGGCGGAAUGUAUGGUGUAGCGGUGAAAUGCUUAGAGAUCAUACAGAACACCGAUUGCGAAGGCAGCUUACCAAACUAUAUCUGACGUUGAGGCACGAAAGCGUGGGGAGCAAACAGGAUUAGAUACCCUGGUAGUCCACGCAGUAAACGAUGAUAACUCGUUGUCGGCGAUACACAGUCGGUGACUAAGCGAAAGCGAUAAGUUAUCCACCUGGGGAGUACGUUCGCAAGAAUGAAACUCAAAGGAAU
rnacentral:rRNA from 1 species